rnacentral:rRNA from 1 species
CCUACGGGUGGCAGCAGUGGGGAAUAUUGCACAAUGGCCGGAAGGCUGAACCAGCCAAGCCGCGUGAAGGACGAAGGUGCCAAGCAUUGUAAACUUCUUUUGUCAAGGGACAAAAUCAGGCUCGAGAGCCUGACCGAGGGUACUUGAAGAAAAAGCAUCGGCUAACUCCGUGCCAGCAGCCGCGGUAAUACGGAGGAUGCGAGCGUUAUCCGGAUUUAUUGGGUUUAAAGGGUGCGUAGGCGGACUGUUAAGUCAGCGGUAAAAGCCCGGGGCUCAACCCCGGCGAGCCGUUGAAACUGGGUGUCGUGAGAUGUCGAGAGGUAUGCGGAAUGCGGAGUGUAGCGGUGAAAGGCUUAGAUAUUGCGCAGAACUGUGAGUGCGAAGGCAGCAUACCGGCGGCGAUCUGACGCGGAGGCACGAAAGCGUGGGUAUCGAACAGGAGUAGAUACCCUUGUAGUC